CCAUUACCAAUGGUGUGAAUAUGGCUGAUAUUAUCAAGAACGUUUUCAACACGCGGCAACUAAUUACCUCUGAAAUGAGGCGUCGACUCAGUGCAAUGCUGCACACCCCUCCCCCUUGAGAAGACUUCAACUCAACCACCCCACUCCCUUUGGAAAAUCCUGGGCUCUGCCAACCGUCUCUGCCAAGCCCUGCCCGGAAAGCUUAUAUACAAGAGACCAGAAUGCGGAAGAAUAGUAGUCGACCAUCACUGUGAUACAGCGGUCUAAAACAAGCAAAGCAAGAACGGAUCUGUGAACUAAAACACGAAUAU